rnacentral:lncRNA from 1 species
GCCUCAAACAAUAUUGUUUUUGUUUGCAAGAAACAUUACAUUGACUGCCUGAUUAAGGAACUGGGGAUAAAUAACACACUUGGAAAUCCUACAUAUUCACUAAGUACGCUUACGAAGCAGGAGAUCCUGGAAAACCACAAAUCGGUUCUAAUCUCCUUUGGUGUUAAUCCAAAGGAUGAAGACCAGGAUCUUCCAUCCUUAUAUUGGAUUCCUAAGCUUCACAAGAAUCCUUAUAAGGAAAGGUAUAUUGCAGGUUCUUCCUAGUGUUCCAAUAAACCCC